rnacentral:rRNA from 2 species
AACGGUGGAUCACUUGGCUCGUACGUCGAUGAAAAACGAGGCGAGACUCGAAAGUUUAUGUGAAUUGCAGCCACGUUGAACAUAGAAAUUUUGAACGCACAUUGCGGUGUUGAGUUGACUCGACGCCGCGUCUGUCUGAGGGUCGUUAC